rnacentral:lncRNA from 1 species
UACAUCAGUGAUACAAAUUUUAUUUUUCAUGCUAAAUUUUUUUUACAAAUUUUAUUGUGUCAUACACAACUACAAGAGUAAUAGUUACAACUGAAUUAAAAAAAUAGCAUUUUGGGGGCAUUUCUAUUUGUUUGCUACUAUCAUAAGCAUGUUUUGUUACAUGAACAGCAAUAAUAAUUACAAUUACACAACUGCUCAAUUCAUAAAUGUAGUGUAUCAUGAUGGAGGCUACUACAUAAUAUAAACAGUAAGUGCCCAAACAUAUUUUCACAUUCUAUAUUAUUAUUUAUUAUAUAACUAGAAUCAAGGAUUAGAAUCUAGGUAAUACCAUCAUUCAAAUAUCUGACCAAGUGAAUCAAGUGAGCAAGCACAUCAAAUCGUUUUCCAAAAUCUAUUAUAGUUUAGUUCUAAAGAAAAAUGUAAGAUGAAACAUACAAGGCAUGGCUUGUUAAUAAUUUAUGCCUAAAACCAUUAUAUAAUAAAAAUCUGCAUCUUUUGCAACUUGGUAUUUGUUUCAUCUGACACAGUAAUAAAAAAGAUGAAUAGUACUAUCAGCACUUGGAAUUACCCAACUACAGCUGAUACAGUAUCUCCCAGAAUUCUAGUUUCUAAAAUUCUGGGGGAAGUGGGACAAUUUGAACUAUAACAAUCUACAUGGUAGUAAUAUUACCUUUUGGCCAUUGGCCCAAUACUAAUCCUUUUUUUUUUUAAUAUACAAAAUAUGCUGAAAUCAUCUCUUAAACACAUUUCAAUUAAUGUAAUUAAAAACAGAAGGGUAACAGCUUCCUUUUAGAAGACUUAGAUUUAGUUAUGAAAAAUUUGCCAUAUCUUUGUUAAUUUAUGGAACAAUUUUAGGGUCAAAUAUAGAUCAUACUAUAUUUUUCAAUUUAGAGUCUGUGAUAAAUACUUGUACGAGUAACUAUAAACAUAACCAAAUUAGUUUUAAAAAUGGAAAUUACCAUUUUUAUCUCUUUAGUAACUUUAAUCACUUGAUUUUUCCAAUUUAAGGACAAACUUCAAAAAUUCACUGUGAAAUUUGUAUUCUGACUAAGCACAAAAAUACACAAAUGUUAGUUCUAGUCAGAAAUUUCAGCUGACAAAUGAAAAUUUCACUUUGAAAGUAGAUCUGGGACACAGAAGUUAAAUUUUUGAUCUAAACACAUCAUAAAUAUAUUGUUAUAAUGUAAAAAUAAUUUUUUAAAAGAAAUGUUUAACAGUCUUUUUACUCCACCAUCUCAAACAUGUAAAAUUUUUCUCUAAAAGAAAAUAGUGUAAGAUAAACAUCUUAUCUGAAACCCAAUUUUAUAAAAAAGAGAGAAUAAAACUAAUUACUUUUAUAUGUACUUGAGCCAAGUAGUUGCUGCUUCCAGAUGUGAGCUAAAAAUCAUGACCUAAUGACAUUAUGGUAAGCAACCUUUUGCUUAUAACCCUAGUAACCUGAAAUUCAAUUCAUAUUGCUUAUCAAAGACCCAUAUGUAUUUGUAAAUUUAAAAAUUUACAUCUUUUAAAAAGUAUCUAACAAAUUAUUUUCUUAAAUAAAAUAUAAUUAUUAUAUAAAUAACUGUUUAUUCUAAGAACUUUAAAAGACAAACAAAAUGGGGUGGGGGAGAGUUGGGCACAUGCCCUCCAAGAAAAUAUCUAGAAUUAUAUCACAAUAAUAAGGCUAAGAACCAUGAAGGAUUUAUUGGACUAAAGUUUCAAGUCUCCUAACACAUUAUUUUAAUUGUGUUUUUGAUGGUCUCCUACCUAUUUGAACAUUGCAGUGUCCUUUCCAAACUGUAAAUCAGACAAUCUGAAGUGUGCUAUAUUUUAUUGUCAUUUUCUUAGAGAAAAUAAUUGCUUCAUUGGCCUAACAAAAAAGGCACAGGAAAACUGUACACAAAAUAUAGCCAUUUAAAUGUUCCCAUACUUAAGAUGGUUAUUUAGUAAUUUCAAACAAUUUAUGUGGUAUCUAAUAUUUUCAUACUAUUCUUAUUUCAAAUCACAAAUACAUUAAUCUCUUAUUUAUAAAUAAUUUCCUUAGACAAUGGAUCAGUCUUUAUUGGAAUGAUGAAGGGGUACUAAAUUUUAACAGAAAAUUAAGCUAAAGAUUAUGUUCUAAAGCAUUUUAUAAGUGUUCAUUCUCCACUUAAAACAUUUUAGAUGCUACCAAAAUCUUAGUCCAGCAGUACUAGUUUGAUUGUCACUACUAUUUGAACUUUCCUCUCAUUUUUAAUCAUACCAAUCUGAGUCAGCAGGGAUUUCCAAUAUAUAUUUUAAACGACAGAACACAGAUAUGGGAGACAGAGAGACUUGGUCUGGCUCCAAUUAUACUACUUAGUUAAGUAUGGGAUCUUCAGCCAGUCCCUCAACUUCUCCAUGCCUUUCCUUCCCCUUCUAAAAUAUAAGGAGCCUAUCACUCUCCUUUGUUGGACUCACGGAACUGUGGGAAAUCAUGUAAGAAAAACAUAGGAAAGAACUCUAAAAAGGGCCAAUGUGCUAUCAACAUACAGAUGUUUGUUACAGUACUGGAUUUUAUUAGAAUGACCAGUCUACUAGGGUGUAACUUAAAAGAUUUAAGUUACAGGAAGUAUCAGAAAAAUUUCUGUAACAUAUCUUUACCAUGUCCUCUGGAUAAGGUCUGAGAGCAGUUUAGAAAAGUGUAUUAAUACCUAUCCUAUUCCCAUGGGAAAAAGCACAUUGGACACUGACCUAAGAAAAGCUAAAAGCCUCAUUCACUCUUUCUAGAUGUUUUAUGGCUAUACUUCUGCUUCACCUGAAUGUGUGUUUGUAGUUUUAUUAAUUGACAGCCUGUUUUGUUCCAGGCUUAUUCUGACAGUUACUUAAUUCUCUCUGAAAGUAGUCACAUGCCAUCUUAAUUUCUCUUCUAUCUUUUUUACUUGUUGCAAAUUCUUGUUUUUUUCUGACUCAAACUCCAGUGAAACUAGAUGUAGUAAAAAAAAAAAAAAAUUUAAUUCAAAAAAUGAAAAAAGAUUCAAAAUUAAGUGACUUAAAAGCAAAUGUUUUUUCUACUUUCCAUCCUUUUCAGGAGAUACUAUGCAUACACUCUAAUAGGAUAUAAGAAGCACAGAUCAUCAGGAAAAUCUGUUUAAUUUACACAAUGUAAUUUUCCAAGGUUAAAAGACAUAAGCAAGAAAUUUUCUAAGGUUAAAAGACACAAGCAAGAAAACAAGGAUUGAUUUUUGUAUGAGCAUAUCUAAAAGAUAAUUUUAAAUGAAUGGUGAUAAUGAAGUAAACGGGACAUGAGGACAGGGUGGGAACAUAAUAGAAAGGAUAUGAUAAAAUGUCUUUAACAUUUUUUUGAUUUUAUACAGUCACUAAAUGUGUAAAAUUUACACAUUUUAGUAAAUGUGUAGCUCACUAGCUAAAUGUGAAAGCAGACAGGUGACUGGUCACAUAUGGAGAAGCAGAUUUGGAAGCCCUACUAGAGAUACAGGUGAUUUUUGAAGUCACAUAAUUAAAAAUGUUGAGACAAAAGGGGACCUAUAUCAUAUAUAGACAUAGAUCAUGUCAAAUGAGAAAAUGAGAAUGAUAUAAAAAAUACAAACAGAGGCCGGGCGCGAUGGCUCAAGCCUGUAAUCCCAGCACUUUGGGAGGCCGAGACGGGCGGAUCACGAGGUCAGGAGAUCGAGACCAUCCUGGCUAACACAGUGAAACCUCGUCUCUACUAAAAAAAAAUACAAAAAACUAGCUGGGCGAGGUGGCGGGCACCUGUAGUCCCAGCUACUCAGGAGGCUGAGCCAGGAGAAUGGCGUGAACCCGGGAGGUGGAGCUUGCAGUGAGCUGAGAUCCAGCCACUGUACUCCAGCACGGGUGACAGAGCCAGACUCCUUCUCAAAAAAAAAAAAAAAAAAAAA